AGGAGAAGAAACUAACCAGGAUUUCCCUAGUAACGGCGAGCGAACCGGAAAGAGCCCAGCUUGAAAAUCGUGGUGCCUCGCACCUCGAAUUGUAGUCUGGAGAAGGUCCCUCUGCGACGCGCCGGACCCAAGUUCCCUGGAAAGGGACGUCAUCGAGGGUGACAACCCCGUCCGCGCCCGGAACGCGUCGCUCCACGAGGACCUGUCUGCGAGUCGGGCUGUUUGGGAAUGCAGCCCUAAGCGGGAGGUAAAUUCCUUCCAAGGCUAAAUAUGGGCAAGAGACCGAUAGCGAACAAGUACCGCGAGGGAAAGAUGAAAAGGACUUUGAAAAGAGAGUUAAAAAGUGCUUGAAAUUGCUGGGAGGGAAGCGAAUGGAAGCUGCGGGUGCGCCCCGGUUGGAUGUGGAACGGCUUCGGCUGGUCCGCCGCUCAACGCGGGGCGCUGGUCAGCGUGGGCCGCGGCGCCGGGACAAGAGCGGGGAUUCGCUUCCCGCCUAUGCCGGUGCGGUGGCCGAGGAACGAAGCGCGCGCCUCCUUCUGGACGGCGUGGGUUCGCCCAACUGCGCGCUCGGGACGCUGGCGUAUUGAGCUCUUCAUCCGACCCGUCUUGAAACACGGACCAAGGAGUCUAACAUGUAUGCGAGCCGGUGGGCGGCAAACCCAUUGAGGCGCAAGUAAACUGACAGGUGGGACCCCGACCGCGAGGGAGGGAGCACCAUCGACCGACCGUGAUCUUCUGUGAAAGGUUUGAGUGUGAGCAUACCUGUUGGGACCCGAAAGAUGGUGAACUAUGCCUGAGCAGGGCGAAGCCAGAGGAAACUCUGGUGGAGGCUCGUAGCGAUACUGACGUGCAAAUCGUUCGUCAGACUUGGGUAUAGGGGCGAAAGACUAAUCGAACCAUCUAGUAGCUGGUUCCCUCCGAAGUUUCCCUCAGGAUAGCUGGAGCUCGUGUACAAGUUUUAUCAGGUAAAGCGAAUGAUUAGAGGCAUCGGGGGUGUAACACCCUCGACCUAUUCUCAAACUUUAAAUAGGUAAGCCGCCGGGGUUGCUUGGUUGAACCCCGGCACAGAAUGAGAGCUCCAAGUGGGCCAU
rnacentral:rRNA from 1 species